CACGGGCGUCCAGGCCAGCUGCAGGCUGAACACGUCCCCAAAGCGGCGCCGCAGCUGCAGGCGCAGGGGCGAGGCUCUCACAGCAGAUGGCUUUAUGGUCCCCAGGACACACAGGAGACUGAGUCUGAGGAAUCCUUCAGAAACACAGCCCACCCUCUCUGGGCUUCUGCUCCGGUGAAGCCGCUGGGGCCAGAGG